ensembl:lncRNA
AUGGCGUGUAAAAGAAACCUGAGUUUUACUACUCCCGUGAGUAAUAGGGCUUUGCAACCAGCAGCAAGCCCACUGAGCAUAAAUGAUUUAACGAAACAGCUGAUCUCCGGUCAGAACGCUUUGUCUCGUCAGCUUGAGGGUUUGAUGGAGAAGCAAGCUGCAAACACUGUUCUUCUCGAAGAUGCUAUCCAGCGUCUUUGUGCUCUUGAGCGAAAGUUUGACGAGCAAAGACCGCAAGAGGAACAAAGACCGCGGGAAGAGCCAUUACAUAAAAGGAUAAAGAGGGCGCACAACGUGGGCAUUGCGAAUAAGUUCGCCUCGUAACCAAGCAGUCAUGACUUAUCUGCUAGAGGAAUUGAAAACAACUUUUGCAGAUGCAGACCCUGAGUGUAUACAAGGUAAUUUUAAAAUGUUUGUUUAACAAUUUUAAUGUCCAUAAUUUUAGUCUCUUAUAUUUUGUCCAUCUUAUGAUUUCAAUAGUGUAGUUUCUGUCACUUAUCUGAAUUUUCUUUUAUUCAGCGUGUUGCAAGACAUACUUUGAAACACUUCGGAGAAAGUACAAUUUGUCUCAGCCAGAAAAGUCCCAGCUAAGAGAUGCCAUUAAAACAGGAGCUAAAAACCGACAAAGGAAAAGACGGGUAAGUGUAGAAAUUCAUCAACUUGUCUUUAAAGGGAUAGUUCACCCCAAAUUGAAAAUUCUGUUAUUUUCUUCUGAUAACCACAAAAGAAAAUAUUUUUAGGAAUGUUUGAAAUCAAACUGAUCAUGAGCUCCAAUCACUUCCAUAGUAUUUUUUUUCUACUUUAAAGUCAAUGGGGCUCAUGAUUGGUUGGAUUAUAAACAUUCCAUCUUUUGUGGUUAUCAGAACAAAGACAUUUACAGGUUUGUAACAACAUGAGAGUGAGUACAUUGACAGAAUUUUCAUUUUUGAGUGAACUAUUCCUUUAAGUUUGAUACAUUUCUGGGUGUUUUUAGUGGUUAACACAUUGUGUGUUUUGCAGUUGCUGGAUUCCAGGUCCAAGGUUGUUCAAACCGAUGCAGAGAGAGAGCUUUGGCAGACUGCAACAGUGGAGCUGAUGUCUGACGAGGAGGAUGCCAUUGUUGAUGGAAGGCCAGUGUGGAUUGUGAGGUCUCCAUCUCACAGGAACCCACAAUUGUCAGAACUUUGUGAGGAGCUUCAGCGCAGAUUGGAGGCAGACAUGCGCUACACUAUUUUGCAUCAUCAGCGUGUUAAGGCUGAUGGAAAUGGACAUGAUGGACCUUCCUUUCUUCAACUUUAACUAAACUGCACUGGUUUUGCAAUUUUAAUAAUUGCACCACAAACUGCACAUUUUCACUUAUUCUCUUCUAUUUUAUCUUAUUCUUUGUAUACUUAUUAGGUUAGAUUUAUUUAGUUUCAUAUUCUGCAACUUAUUUUCUUUUAAUAUUGUUUGUGUUUGCUGUGUUUGGUUACAUUUUAAAUACUUUGUGCUGUGUGUACAUAUUAAGUAGUUUAUUUAGUUUUAUAUUCUGUAACUGUUAUAAUAUUGCUUGUGUUUAGUAAAAUUUUAUAAAAGUACUUUGCUUUGUGUACAUAUUAUUUCGUUUUAUAUUUUGUAACUGUUAUAAUAUUGCUUGUGUUUGGUUAAAUUUUAUAAAAGUACUUUUUCCCCUGUACAGUUCCUAUAGUUUUAUUUAUAUAUUUAAUGCUUUAUUUAUAUAUUUAAUGCUUUAAGUGUUUUGGUUUAAUUUUAAUAAAAAGAAAUUCUGAAUCCA